UGUAUAUAAUAAUAUAUAUAUACAGUACUAGUAUAUGUACCAUGUAUAUAAUAAUAUACACCGUGUCGUUGGAUGAAAUCAACAACAGAAUGUCACCGUGUCAUUGGAUGAAAUCAACAACAGAAUGUCACCGUGUCAUUGGAUGAAAUCAACAACAGAAUGUCACCGUGUCGUUGUAUUUAGGUUGCCAGUUGGGUGAAUAAAAGACUCCCUGACUUUUUCACAUCCAAUCAGUUUUCCAUGUUGAUUCAAUGUCAUCACGGUUUGGGUUGCCCGGGGGUGUGUGUGUGUGUGUGUACAGGGGUUACAUGAGGAGAGGUUUCAGUGCAACUAUUGUUUGUACAAACAAAAACACACUCAGUGGUCUGGAAGGACAAGAAGUCCUUGUGUUCUCUUCUCCUCUCUACUAUAAACGAAGGGUUUCUUUCCAUCUGAACUCUCUACUAUAAACAAAGAGUUUCUUUCCAUCUGAACUCUCUACUAUAAACGAAGAGUUUCCUUCCAUCUAAACCAUCUAAACUCUCUACUAUAAACGAAGGGGUCCCUUCCAUCUGAACUCUCUACUAUAAACGAAGAGUUUCUUUCCAUCUGAACUCUCUACUAUAAACGAAGAGUUUCUUUCCAUCUAAACUCUCUACUAUAAACGAAGGGUUUCUUUCCAUCUGAACUCUCUACUAUAAACGAAGGGGUCCCUUCCAUCUGAACUCUACUAUAAACGAAGAGUUUCCUUCCAUC
ensembl:lncRNA